GGUACGAGUUGACAUAUUCUAAUCACGUGGUUCUUUGCGUUUGGUUUCAGCGGCACAUAACUUAUCCACACGUGUGACAAAGGCAUUUCAAAUUUAUAAUGGACUAUGGAGGUUAUGGAGGUGGCGGUGGUGGUGGAGGAAGAGGCAGAGGAGGAGGAAGAAGAGGAGGAGGAUCGGGAAAGAAAUUUGGUGAACCUGAAGAUCCAGAGUCCGAGCAAUUUAGGAAAUUAUUUAUUGGUGGAUUAAGUUACGAAACCGAUGAGGAAGGACUCAAAGAACAUUUUGGACAAUGGGGAGAAAUUGUAGAUGUUGUUGUCAUGAGAGAUCCUCAAAGCAAGCGAUCACGAGGCUUUGGUUUUGUAACUUUCAAAGAAUCUCAAAAUGUGGAUGAUUCACAGAAUUGUCGACCACACAAACUAGAUGGAAGAGAAGUUGAAACUAAAAGAGCUAUGCGUAGAGAGGACUCCCAGGACCCAGACGUACAGCAGACAUGUAAAAAACUAUUUAUUGGAGGCAUGAAAGAUGGCACUGAUGAACAAGAUCUGCGUGAUGUAUUUGAACAAUACGGAUCAAUUAAGGAAGUUAAUGUACCAGUAGACAAAGCAACAGGGAAACUCAAAGGAUUUGCCUUCAUAGAGUUUGAAGAUUAUGACCCAGUUGAUAAAUGUGUUUUAAUGAAAUAUUUUACCCUAUCUGGGAAAAGUGUGGAAGUUAAAAAGGCAAAGAAAAAGGAUGGUGAAGGUGGAGGUCGAGGUGGUGGAAGAGGUGGUGGCAGGGGAGGUCGUGGAGGUCAAGGUGGGGGAUAUGGAGGUCAACAAGCAGGAGGUUACCAGAGCUAUGGAGGCGGUGGAUAUGGUGGAGGCUAUGACGAUGGUAGUGGUGGUUACGCUGGUGGAUACAACCAGAGUAGUACAUAUAACCAAGGUUACAGUGAUGGUGGAUACAGUGCCGGUGGUUAUGGUGGUGGUUACGGAGGGGGACAAGGUGGAGGUGAUUAUAGCCAAUCCUUUGGACAAAGUUACACAGGAAAUUCUGGUGGAGGACCAAUGAGAGGACAGUAUGGUAACAAACGAGGAGGAGGAGCACCUUAUCAGAGUGGAGGAGGCGGCGGUAGAGGGAGAGGUGGUUACAACAGAUAAAUCAUACUCAACAAUUUUUAGGAUGCACAGAAUGACAUUCUAUUGAAAUAUGAAAGACCUGUUAUAGCAUAAAGAUGCAUUUACAGACAAAUGGAGAAGACAAUAUUUUGUCUAAUGGACUGAUGUUAAUCAAAUACAAGUGUGCAAGAUAUCUGGCAGAAAAGACAUUGGUGUAUAAUGUGAUCACUACUGCUAAACUGGACACAUUGAAAACAUUAUAUUCUUUGCAGUUCAGUUUCUUAAAAAAAAAAGAGGAAUGGAUGCUAUUAACAUCAGCUCUAUUCUUCAUCACAUAGAGAAUUAUGAGAUCUGGGUUGGUAGACAUCACUCUUCAAAAACUCUCAUCUGUCUGGUAGCUUGCUAAUUUACAGUAAUGAGAAUUGUAAUGAAAAAAUGAUUGAGUUGUUGCCAGGCACUGCCUAUUGUCUACAUAUUCUGUAAUUGUGAUCCUUAUUCAAUGUAUUUAUUUAUGAUGUUCAGCAUUGUUUUGUUACUGAGUUUUUGUACAGGAUUAUUUGGCUCUUAAUAAACUUGAAAACAAUA